GGUGGCUCAGUGGUAUAGAGUGUUUGCCUUGCAUGCAUGAGGCCCUGGGUUCGAUUCCUCAGCACCA
rnacentral:tRNA from 1 species